rnacentral:rRNA from 1 species
AUUGAACGCUGGCGGCAGGCCUAACACAUGCAAGUCGAACGAGUGGCGGACGGGUGAGUAAUGUCUGGGAAACUGCCCGAUGGAGGGGGAUAACUACUGGAAACGGUAGGUAAUAACGCAUACCGUCGCACGUGCACAGAUGGGAUUAGCUAGUAGGUGGGGUAACGGCUCACCUAGGCGACGAUCCCUAGCUGGUCUGAGAGGAUGACCAGCCACACUGGGACUGAGACACGGUCCAGACUCCUACGGGAGGCAGCAGUGGGGAAUAUUGCACAAUGGGCGCAAGCCUGAUGCAGCCAUGCCGCGUGUAUGAAGAAGGCCUUCGGGUUGUAAAGUACUUUCAGCGAGGAGGCGUUACUCGCAGAAGAAGCACCGGCUAACUCCGUGCCAGCCGCCGCGGUAAUAC